rnacentral:rRNA from 1 species
AAAACUUUCAACAACGGAUCUCUUGGUUCUGGCAUCGAUGAAGAACGCAGCGAAAUGCGAUAAGUAAUGUGAAUUGCAGAAUUCAGUGAAUCAUCGAAUCUUUGAACGCACAUUGCGCCCCUCGGUAUUCCGGGGGGCAUGCCUGUCCGAGCGUCAUU